AUGGCGGCGGCCUCUUCGUCCUUCUCGCGGCGCCUCGGCGCGGCCGUGCGGGAGCUCGGCAUGAAGGGCGCCGCGGAAGGUUGGUACGGCGCGCACAUGGCGGCGGCGGAGCGCGCCAUCCUGGAGAGGGCCCCCCUCGUCGAUCUCGUCCUCGAGGUUCGAGACGCUCGGAUACCUGCUACAUCUGCAUUUGAGAGUUUGGGGAGAUGGUCCGGUUCCAAUAAGCAUAUGAUUGCGCUGAACAAAGUGGAUCUUGCAGAUGCUUCGUCUACAGAGAAAUGGGUAAAGCACAUUGAGAAACAGAACUGUGUUUGUCGUGGAGUCAAUGCGCACAACAAAGGCAGUAUCAAGGAGCUUCUAAGCACUGUACGAUCUAGGAUCAAGGAACUAAAUGGUGGUGAAAGCAGUUACACAGCAACAGUAAUGUUGGUUGGGAUUCCAAAUGUUGGAAAAUCUGCCAUUGCCAAUUCUAUGCACCAAAUCGGCAGAAUUGGUGCAAUGGAGAAGGGAAAACUCAAGCAUGCAAUGGUGAGCCCACUUCCUGGGGAAACAAGAGAUAUAAGCAGUUACAAGAUUGCUAGCCAUCCCAAUAUAUAUGUACUGGAUACUCCAGGAAUUCUCUCACCUAAGAUUGCCAAUGAUGACUUUGGGUCCAAACUAGCCUUGACCGGAGCUAUAAAGGACUCACUGUUAGGGGAAUAUAAGCUUUCACAAUACUUUCUCUCUCUCCUUAAUUCAUCUGAGGAACAUAAACAUUGGGGGAACUUGAAAUAUUCAACAGAUGAAAAAAUACCCUUAGGUACUAAGGAUGAGCAACGGAGGAGAAGACGAUAUCCUUCCGAUCAUACGCAGGAUUUUAUCGUCAAGGAUGUUCGCCGAACCCUUUUCAUGACCAUAUCAUCGUUUAAGGGUUCUUUAGAGAAAGGCAAAGAAAUGGAAAAGCUUGUAGAAUCUCAGUUUAUGGCUUUGCAUGAGGCUUUUAGAGUGUCAUAUGAAUCAACUGAGGAUAGAAAUAAAGCAGUUGGCGCAAAGUUGCUAAACCUAUAUCGGACUGGAAGAGUUGGCCGUUAUACACUGGAUGCUUUCCCAGGGGUAAUAGUUUGAAUUUUCGAGGGAGGCAUUGCUGGGUCAAUCUUAUAUAGAGAGGUUAAUAUUGUCCUGAUAUAUCAUCCACGUGAUACUGGCCAGAGAAAUCUUCUGAUGAGAUCAUCAUGUUUGACAUGGGAAAAUGAGACUGCUGAUUAGGGUGUUGGUUGCUUUUGUCUUACCCUUUUCUUUCGAAGUUACUUUGGUUAAAUUGUCCAUUAAUUGUGGAGAUCCUCACCAGACCAGUUCGGCAAAAUGACAAGGCCCAUGAAGAGGCAGAUUCCACAGCCUAUAGCGAUAGUAUAGAGGCGGUCGCGGGCUAAUGGCAACACAUUUUCUUCGCGGAAGCUAGAUACAGUUAUCAGAUUAAAGGUUAGUAGGAAAAUCACCACUCCGUAUUCGUAGUUCUUCUUGAUGUAUGGAAAGAAUCUCAAAUAUGUCGCAACAAAUCCUGUUGAAGGGAAUUAGCUAAGUAAAUGCAAGUUCUGCAGCUCAUAAAAUCAUACUCUAUAGCUUCCCUGAUAAAAUAAAGCUUGAGUUGAGCUAAUUUCGUAAACAUACCUAUUACGAAGACUGAAGCUCCUAUGAAAGAAGCACGGAAUACUGUGCCCGAUUUUUCCGCUAUAAUUUCUAUUAAAAAUGACAGAGAUCCUGCAAGAAGUGUUCCCAAUCCUCUAUUCAUCCCCUUGCACAGAGUUGCGCCUGAUACAAAAAAUUACUUAGCUAUGAACCAAAACCAUCUCAAACUCAACUAUAUUUUUAGACACUACUGCAAAUAAAGGAAUGAUUAAAUUACCUGCUGUGAAUUCUAGCACCACAACCACUGUCAUAACAGCCCACAUCGCAUUUUUUCCGACUCCUUUGAACAAUGGCUGCAAGACAUAGAGGAAGGAGACCAGUGUUAAGGCUACUCCUACCUUUAUAGCAUGAAUAACCCUUCUUGGAUCUUCUUUACCGACUCUCCAUGCGGUUCUACACAAGGAAAUCGGAAAAUCUUUUAUCUUCUUCACCAGUGCUUUGCUCUUCUCCAUUCUUUCGACAGUGGUUGGGUUUUGAGAAAUAUUUGCAGGACUAAAGGCUCAAACCUAGUGGACUACUUCAAUAUAUGGCCACAAAUGGUCGCGUCGACUUCUGCAACAGUGCAACUUUUGUGAAGAAGCAGCAUGAAUUAAAUGCAGGAUGGUUCUUGUUGAGAUUCUUUCAGAGGCAUCUAGGGUUUAUUUUGAAUCGUUGGUAACCUCUGUCCUGUAAAAUUGGAAAGGUUUUACUAUGUCAGACACAGGAUACAACUGGCCCUUCACAUGCAUCCUGCCUAAAAGUAGAAAUGUAAACAUCAUUGACACAAACUUGCUGUGCUUUAAGCCUAGAGUGAGGAUGAUAGAAAAAGAAUAUCGCCUACAUGCAGUUGAAUUCAUUACUUAUGUGGGUUCUCCCUGUUCCAGAAUUCAGACUAGGUGACAGUGACAGCAUCCACCAGCUAGCCGAAAAAAGCAGCAACUUGAUUGAAGGAGUUGAACUCUCAAACAAUUGAACUGUGGAUACAUCUUUACUCUGGUUUUAUUAUUAUUAUUAUUAUUAUUCUGUUCUGUUUUCUUUCCCACCCAUCAGUAGUUUGGUGUUCAGUGGUGAAAUGCUCCUUGCAAUAACUUUCUCCCAUAUGUUGGUUUUGCUGGAUUUUGUUUUGAUGUUGGGCUGUGUGUUGGAUGCAUGAAUAUUAGGAUUUACUCAAGAAACUUGUAAUAUUUAUUCGGUGAGGAGUGUAAUAAGAUGUUUAAAUUAGAAGAUCGUAUUUUACUUUUAA